rnacentral:piRNA from 1 species
CCAUAUGGUGGAAGGCAAGAACACA